rnacentral:rRNA from 1 species
AGUUUGAUCCUGGCUCAGGACGAACGCUGGCGGCGUGCUUAACACAUGCAAGUCGAACGAUGAAAUCACUUCGGUGGUGGAUUAGUGGCGAACGGGUGAGUAACACGUGGGCAAUCUGCCCUUCACUCUGGGACAAGCCCUGGAAACGGGGUCUAAUACCGGAUACCACUUCGUCCCGCAUGGGACGGGGUUGAAAGCUCCGGCGGUGAAGGAUGAGCCCGCGGCCUAUCAGCUUGUUGGUGGGGUAAUGGCCUACCAAGGCGACGACGGGUAGCCGGCCUGAGAGGGCGACCGGCCACACUGGGACUGAGACACGGCCCAGACUCCUACGGGAGGCAGCAGUGGGGAAUAUUGCACAAUGGGCGAAAGCCUGAUGCAGCGACGCCGGGUGAGGGAUGACGGCCUUCGGGUUGUAAACCUCUUUCAGCAGGGAAGAAGCGCAA